rnacentral:rRNA from 1 species
AGUGAACGCUGGCGGCAGGCCUAACACAUGCAAGUCGAGCGGAUGAAGAGAGCUUGCUCUCUGAUUUAGCGGCGGACGGGUGAGUAAUGCCUAGGAAUCUGCCUGGUAGUGGGGGAUAACGUCCGGAAACGGGCGCUAAUACCGCAUACGCCCUACGGGAGAAAGCAGGGGACCUUCGGGCCUUGCGCUAUCAGAUGAGCCUAGGUCGGAGUAGCUAGUUGGUGAGGUAAUGGCUCACCAAGGCUACGAUCCGUAACUGGUCUGAGAGGAUGAUCAUUCAUACAUGAAAUGAGACACGGUCCAGACUCCUACGGGAGGCAGCAGUGGGGAAUAUUGGACAAUGGGCGAAAGCCUGAUCCAGCCAUGCCGCGUGUGUGAAGAAGGUCUUCGGAUUGUAAAGCACUUUAAGUUGGGAGGAAGGGCAGUAAGUUAAUACCUUGCUGUUUUGACGUUACCGACAGAAUAAGCACCGGCUAACUUCGUGCCAGCCGCCGCGGUAACAC